UACGUAGGUGGCGAGCGUUGUCCGGAUUUACUGGGCGUAAAGGGCGUGCAGGCGGUUUGUUAAGUGCAGGGUGAAAGCUCCCGGCUCAACUGGAAGAGGUCCUUGCAUACUGGCGAACUCGAGGGAGGCAGAGGAAAGUGGAAUUCCCGGUGUAGUGGUGAUAUGCGUAGAUAUCGGGAGGAACACCAGUGGCGAAGGCGACUACCUGGCCUGUUCUUGACGCUGAGGAGCGAAAGCGUGGGGAGCGAACAGG
rnacentral:rRNA from 1 species